GGCACGGCUGAGUAGCUAAGUAGGGAAGGGAUAAACGCUGAAAGCAUCUAAGUGUGAAGCCCACCCCAAGAUAAGAUAUCCCAUACCAUAAGGUAGUAAGAUUCCAUGUAGACUACAUGGUUGAUAGGUUGGAGGUGUAAGUGCAGUAAUGUAUUGAGCUGACCAAUACUAAUAAAUCGAGGGCUUAACCAC
rnacentral:rRNA from 1 species